GCUUGAGGGGCCGUGGCGGCGCUGGGAACCACCCCCUCCCCCCAAAAAAUCCCCCCCCUCCCCAGGGGAGAAGGCGCCGAAGCCCAAGAAGGCGGCGCCGGUGGGGAAGAAGAAGAGGAAGAAGAAGGGCUCCGAGGACGAGGCCUUCGAGGACAGUGACGACGGGGACUUUGAGGGGCAGGAGGUGGAUUACAUGUCCGACGCCUCCAGCAGCUCGCUGGAGGAAGAGGUGGGGAAGCCCAAGGUGACGAAGGAGGACGAUGGACCCAAAGGCAUCGACGAGGCGAGCGAGAGCAGCGAGGAGAGCGAGGAGGAGAAGGCGGCGGAGGAGAAGGAGGAGGAGGAGGAGGAGAAGAAGGCCCCGACGCCGCAGGAGAAGAAGAAAAAGAAGGACAGCAGCGACGAGUCGCAGACCUCGGAGGAGAGCGACAUCGACAGCGAGACCUCCUCCGCCCUCUUCAUGGCGAAGAAGAAGACCCCCCCGAAGAGGGAGCGCAGGGGCUCGGCCAGCAGCUCGAGGGGCAACAGCCGCCCGGGGACGCCCACGGAGCCCGGCAGCACCAGCUCCACGCUGCGGGCGGCCGCCUGCAAACUGGAGCAAGGUGGGACACGGGGGGGUUAGUUCUGAGACACCCCCUCCCCUUCCGACCCCAGGGGUUAUUUGGGGACGCUCCUGGGGGUUUGGGGCAAAUCUGUAGGGUCUUGGGGGCAGAU
rnacentral:lncRNA from 1 species